rnacentral:rRNA from 1 species
CUUUACUGCAGCCUGGAAUUGUGUUCGGGCUUCGCUUGCGCAGGAUAGGUGGGAGACUGAGAAGUGUGCCUUGUGGGGCACAUAGAGUCAACGGUGAGAUACCACUCUGUCAGAGCUAGAAUUCUAACCUUCACCCGUGAUCCGGGGAAGGAACCGUAUCAGGUGGGCAGUUUGACUGGGGCGGUCGCCUCCUAAAAGGUAACGGAGGCGCGCAAAGGUGUUCUCAGGCUGGUUGGAAAUCAGCCGUAGAGUGUAAAGGCAGAAGAACGCUUGACUGUGAGAGUGACAACUCAAGCAGGGUGGAAACACGGCCUUAGUGAUCCGACGGUAUGCGCGUGGAAGUGCCGUCGCUCAACGGAUAAAAGUUA